AUUGAACGCUGGCGGCAUGCCUUACACAUGCAAGUCGAACGGCAGCACGGGAGCAAUCCUGGUGGCGAGUGGCGAACGGGUGAGUAAUAUAUCGGAACGUGCCCAGUCGUGGGGAUAACGUAGCGAAAGCUACGCUAAUACCGCAUACGAUCUAUGGAUGAAAGCGGGGGAUCGCAAGACCUCGCGCGAUUGGAGCGGCCGAUAUCAGAUUAGGUAGUUGGUGAGGUAAAGGCUCACCAAGCCGACGAUCCUUAGCUGGUCUGAGAGGAUGAUCAGCCACACUGGGACUGAGACACGGCCCAGACUCCUACGGGAGGCCAGC
rnacentral:rRNA from 1 species